ensembl:lncRNA
UUGUGCUACUUUUGCAAGCUCAGCUCACAGCCGGCCUUCAUGAUAGGAGGUGGGCUAAAGGCCGUGGCUGGAGGGUCCAGGGACUGUGAUUUUGUUUUCCAUCUUCAUCUGCCCAAGUCCUUUCCUGCCUUUAGGCUUCUGCAGCUCUUGUCUUUGCUCUAGGAAACCUUCUCUGACCCUUUAAGAUCCGGUCAAGUUUCUGUCGGAUGUGCCAAACACCCCGUCCUUAAUCUUAUGAGCAUUUAUUAUGCUGUACUGUCACAGUUUCUUUAGGUAUCUUUUUCCCUCACUGGACUGUAGACACCUCGGGGCAGGACAGAAUCUUAUUCACCAUCCGAUACUCAGCUCCUAGCACACUAUUGAGCUCAUAGUAGGUGCUCAAUUAAUUGAUGACCUUCAUGAAUGUAUGACUACUUUAUAAAUGAGUUAUACAGGUAACUUUGUAGGUCUACAACUCCAUAUGACACAGAGGCCUGAGGCUAUAGAUGAACACUGCUGAAGUGGCACAAGUUGCUGAUAUCAAGGGUUUCAGUUAAGACAAUAGUCACGGGAGCAGAAAGGAAGGCUCUCUAGCCCCAGAGCUCUGGUCUGGAUCUCCUCCUGCCUGGGCCUUGAAUACUUGCUCAAAGCCCUUAGGCUACAGUGAAUUUUUCUGGAGCUUUGCCUUAUAUAGCUUUGCUCAAGAUAAAAGCAGUGUUUAAGGAAACAUUUGGGCAAUGUCUCAGGGCAGCCAACUUGAGCAAUUUCAAAAACACUGUUUUACUCUGCAGCCUGGGCUGUGGAUAAGAUUUACUCACUGCGUUUCAGAGCCUCGGUCACUGUCCAGAUCCGAGUCUCAGGGGUCUGUCUCUGGGGUAAGAGUUAAGCUCUCACAGUGCUCUCAAAGUUGCUUCAUAAGUCUUUGGCUUUAACAUGACAGUGGCCAUCUGUCCUAGCCAAUCCCUGGGGGAAAUGUUAGAAGAAGCAGCACAUUGACAUUCGGGCUAGAGGAAGCAGGGUGCCAAAGCCCACAUGGAAAGACUUUUCCAGGGUUAUCCUCACUGUGUCCACGGUGGGAACCUGGGACCGAGAGCUUGAUGGGCUCAGAGGCUGCUGGGGUGGGCAUGAGAGUAUUUGUUUCUAUAGAAAUGUUGCUAUAGGAUGUCUGUAGGGCCUUUGAAAGUUGACACCAGCUUUGCCCUGAAAACCAUGUGGUGCCCUUUCACAAUGUUCCCUAUGCCUUUUUAUUACCAAAGAAGUUUUCUGGUAGCUGUCCUGUCUCCAGCCUGAAACUCACUGAUGUUCUGUGAAAAUACGACAGAGACUUCAGAAUUCGAAGCCAGGUUUCUCCUUUCCAGGAGGGGGGCCUUAGUAUCCAUACACUGUAAAGAACGAGAAGCUUGCCUCCAGUGCCCUUGGCACUUUUCUGGCCCCUCCCUCCUCUCCUCCAGGCCAGAUCUGUCCCCUGGGGCCUGGCUCUCAGCCUGUUGUCAACUAAUCCAUGCUAAGGUGUUAGGUGGCAAAGGCUCAAGGGUUAUUAAUCCUUGUAGGAGCUUUCCGCAUUAAACAAAGUUUUGUUACUAAAUCAAAGGGCAUUAAAAAAUCAUCACCAUAACGUAAAAACAAUUUCUUUGUGUUCCCUAUAAAUCUUUACCUUUGUAAGUGAAUAUAGUUAUGAUUAUAACAUAUAUGCAGUAUUUGGGGUUUUUUUCACACAGAAGUACAUUUUGCACAUUUCUUUACAUGUCUAAAUGUCCCAUUUUCAUCCUCAUAAUAGUUUGAAGGUACUUUUUGCAGCAUCUGCCCAUCCCAUGAUGACUUCUCCCCUGCAAAGCCAACUGCCUUCUCUCCUUACCAGCCUCCCCACCAAUGAAGUGGGCCGGGGUAGGGGACCAUUGUGUUGCUGUGACCCGUGCCUCCACCUAUGCCUAACCUCUGCCACAGCUGAAUGAACAGGACUAGCACUAGAUUCAAGUUGGACAACUCCCUGAGGAGGACACAGCUGCAGAUGUGAAAGAGAGCAAGUUAUUCCAGUUAAGGUCGGCGGGAACUCAGCCUGAAAACCUUCCGUCUCGAUCCGCCUUCUUCAGACAGGAUGAUAUGGGUGAAGGAACAUUUUCAUGCUGAUUCCACCCACCUUUGGCCAAACCUCAUCCCUUUGUUGAAUGGUUGCCAAGAUAAAUGCAGAAGUUGCAUCUUAGGCAAAGUGUGGGCUGCUCCAGUCAGCUGAAAUUGAGUAAAAGGGUGCUGCUAGCCCUUUAAAAACAGGCACAAAGCCACAUUUUGGAGCCUGCUUUGCCCCUGUGGUGGCAUCUGAGGCCUGCAAAUGAGUAUGAUUCUGGAAUUUUGCACUUCAGGAUCAGUUAUUCAGAUGGAUAGUUGAAGUCCAUGUGCUGAAUGAGGACAGAGAGGAAAAUGGUGCCAUUUACCCUCCCCCCACCCCAACAUCCCAAACAGCUCUCCUUCAUUUUUUAAAAACAACAAAAUUAAAAUUAUCCUGGAAUCUUCUUUGCAAAAAUCACAUAUUUUAGACUUGUUUCAAGACUCAGACUGAAACGAAUUUGUUUAAAAAAAAUUGUCUGUAUUUGAUGUGGGAGACUAG